AUGAGGUUGUUUGCGUGGGAGGAAGAGUUGGCGGGGGAGUGUAUUUUGUUGUUAGAUUCUGUUGUUUUACAAGACAAUGUUGAUGAUUCUUGGGUUUGGAGUCUUCAUUCUUCAAAUUGUUAUAAUGUGCGAAGUGCCUAUCAGUUCUUAUCGAAGACGGUGAAUGUUCAACAUCGAGGGUUUCCUUUUCCCUCUUUCACCUUCCAACAGCACUCCCAGGUGGCAUGUAUGGCGGGGCUUUGA